GGCCAAAGUGAAAAGUUAACAUUGAGGAUUCCACGUUAAUGGAAAUGCAACCAAAAUGCUGUGCAAAUCUCACAUUUUAAUUCCAAGUUGAUACAAGAAAAUAAUAUUGCAUACCAUAGCACAAAAAUAGGAAGCGCUUCCCACAACAGUUGCCUUCUGACCCAAAGUUGUGACAUAUCUAUCUCAAAUUUACCCCUCUCUCACCAGCUAUUUCUAUCUGGGGUUUUAAAUAUUGAGCAUUAAGUAGCAUAUCAUGUUUGAUGGGUCUUUAUGGGAUAAAUAAGGAUAGUAAAUAACGGCAUAGGAACAACACCACUGUUGUGAAUUGUUUUACAAAAUUAGCAAAGAACUCAAAUUAAUAUUUAAUAAAGAAUCUAACUAAUUAUCAUUAUAAUCUUGUAUAUUUAAUAAUUUCAAGUGGAAUAGAAAAAAGAGUCAAAAAAAUUUUUGUUAUAAUUUUUUUGUAAAAUGUAUUUAUAUGUGAAUGCAUAAUGCAUUAUAUUUAUAAUAUUAUAUAAUUAAAUCUUGAGCAACAAAACUCGCUUUAAGCUUAAGCUUUUCAAAGGAUAAUUUAGCCAUUUCAACAUAGCAAACAUCUUAGCCUAAAAUGCAAGUGCUGAAUUUUGUCAUAAUGCAAUUUAUGUUUAUGAAUCUUCAAACCUAGCCAACCCAAUAAAUUUUAUUUUUUGGAUAAAGGCUUAGUUCAGUUGA
rnacentral:misc_RNA from 1 species